rnacentral:lncRNA from 1 species
GAAUGCAUGCAUAUGGAAAAGUGCUUAUCUUUGCAAGUUGAGAACAUGUCACCUAUGAGGAUAAUGAUUGGAAAUGUGUACUUGAGAAUAUAUCUAUCAUGCUUGACAUAGAGAAUAAAAGUGUCAUCAAGGGGCACUUGAAACUAGUAAACUAUGAAACUGCAACAUAGAGAUAUAGCUUUAGGCCGUUGUACAUCUGCUAUAUUCCAUGUUAGAGACAUGAUGACAUAGAGAUAGGCCUAUGAGAGAUGUGACAUAUUCCAUGCUAUUAGACAUGAGGACUUGGUACUUGUGACAGGACACAUGACUACUUGCCAUUGUGCUCAUUCGCACAUGCUUGUGAGGGUCGCUC